rnacentral:rRNA from 1 species
CCCUUAGAUGUCCUGGGCUGCACGCGCGCUACACUGAUGUGUUCAAUAAGCACCUAACCUACUCCGAAGGGACUGGGUAACCUUUGCAAAGCACAUCGUGAUGGGGAUAGAUUAUUGCAAUUAUUAGUCUUGAACGAGGAAUUCCUAGUAAGCGCAAGUCAUCAGCUUGUGUUGAUUACGUCCCUGCCCUUUGUACACACCGCCCGUCGCUCCUACCGAUGGGGUGAUCCGGUGAAUGAUUCGGACUUUGACACUUCUAGCUACUAGUUGUGUCGGGGGAAGUUUUGUGAACCUUAUCACUUGGAGGAAGGAGAANUCGUANCA